rnacentral:lncRNA from 1 species
GGGGUAUGAGAUUUUCAUUAUGAAUAGACGGCUAGCAUAUACAAAUUACAGUUUUGAAAAUGUAUAUUGUAUGGACUAGAACAUAAUUACCAGCACUAAGUGUUUGCUCAAUUACACAUUACAUUCAAUUACAUUGAAAGUUGUAAUGCAUUACACUUAAUUACCAUAGCAUUUUCAAUUACCCCAUCCCUGCUUACAUCACUGUUCCAUUUCCACAAUGGAUCAGUUCUUUGAGUGCCUGUUCCAACCCGGAGAAGCGUGUAGUUCAUCGUAUGUAGUUGGUUUAUCUAGAUUAUGCAUAAAAAUAUUU